rnacentral:tRNA from 1 species
GGGGAGGUAUGCCUAGUGGCGAUGGCACCUGACUGUAAAUCAGGCACGUUAGAAACACCGGUGGUUCGAAUCCGCCCCUCCCCACCA